GAUGAAGAACGCAGCGAAAUGCGAUAAGUAAUGUGAAUUGCAGAGUUUUGUGAAUCAUCGAAUCUUUGAACGCACAUUGCGCCCGCCAGUAUUCUGGCGGGCAUGCCUGUUCGAGCGUCAUUUCAACCAUCAAGCCCCAGGCUUGUGUUGGAGCCCUGCGGCUGCCGCAGCCUCCCAAAACCAGUGGCGGGCUCGCUAUCACACCGAGUGCAGUAGUUUACUCUUCGCUCAGGGCGUGUGGCGGGUGCUAGCCGUAAAACCCCCAACUUCUCAAGGUUGACCUCGGAUCAGGUAGGAAUACCCGCUGAACUUAAGCAUAUCAAUAAGCGGAGGA
rnacentral:misc_RNA from 1 species